CCUACGGGAGGCAGCAGUGAGGAAUAUUGCACAAUGGGGGAAACCCUGAUGCAGCGACGCCGCGUGAGUGAAGAAGGAAUUCGUUAUGUAAAGCUCUAUCAGCAGGGAAGAAAAUGACGGUACCUGAGUCAGAAGCCACGGCUAACUACGUGCCAGCAGCCGCGGUAAUACGUAGGGGGCAAGCGUUAUCCGGAUUUACUGGGUGUAAAGGGAGCGUAGACGGCAGUUCAAGUCUGGAGUGAAAGGCGGGGGCUCAACCCCCGGACUGCUCUGGAAACUGUACGGCUGGAGUGCAGGAGAGGUAAGUGGAAUUCCUAGUGUAGCGGUGAAAUGCGUAGAUAUUAGGAGGAACACCAGUUGCGAAGGCGGCUUACUGGACUGUAACUGACGUUGAGGCUCGAAAGCGUGGGGAGCAAACAGGAUUAGAUACCCCUGUAGUC
rnacentral:rRNA from 1 species